rnacentral:rRNA from 1 species
GUAACGGCGAGUGAACCGGGAAGAGCUCAAGCUGAAAAUCUUCGGAAUUGUGGUCUAUAGGUGCGGACUCGCGCAGCCCCAGGUAUAAAUCCAUUCUUGGAAUUGGGUGCCAGAGAGGGUUAGAGCCCCGUCUUUGACUUGGGUAGCUGUGCGUGGCGAGUCUUUACCGGAGAGUCGGCUUGCUUGGGAAUGCAGGCCAAAAUGGGUGGUAAACUUCAUCUAAAGCUAAAUAUUGGCGAGAGACCGAUAGCGAACAAGUACUGUGAAGGAAAGAUGGAAAGAACUUUGAAAAGAGAGUGAAAAAGGACUUGAAAUUGUUAAGAGGAGAAGUGAUUGGAGCAUAUCAUACGGCGCGGGGUUCCAGGGACGGGGCUUGCCUUGUCUUGCACCAUCCCGCGCUGUUGGUCAGCAUCGGUUCUGCGUGGGGGAGAAAACCGGCUGCGUUGAUGGCUUCGGCUUGAUCGCAGUGGGCGAAACCCCGGGCGGGACCGAGGCAGCCAGUCUACGCUUGGCGGCCGGCCCCCUGCCCGCCUGGCCGUGUGCUGUACACCCUUUUGGCGUCUGCGGCACUCGGUUGGGUGAUGCGGGGGAGCGCUGGACCUGUAGACUCAAGAUGCUGGCACAAUGGCUUCAAUCAGCCCGUCUUGAAACACGGACCAAGGAGUCUAACACGUAUGCGAGUAGUAAGGUGGCAAACCUUGGAUGCGCAAUGAAAGUAAACGCAGGUGGGAUCCGCAAGGUGCACCAUCGACCGACCAGGAUCUUUUUGUGAAAGGUUUGAGUAAGAGCAUAUUUGUUGGGACCCGAAAGAUGGUGAACUAUGCCUGAAUAGGGUGAAGCCGGAGGAAACUCCGGUGGAGGCUCGUAGCGGUACUGACGUGCAAAUCGUUCGUCAAAUUUGGGUAUAGGGGCGAAAGACUAAUCGAACCAUCUAGUAGCUGGUUCCCUCCGAAGUUUCCCUCAGGAUAGCUGGAGCUCACACAAGUUU